AUCAAGAACUAUGACGAAGUUCCUCACCACUGUGGUAAUCUUCAGCCUCGCCAUACUUGCUACCAUCCUUGUAGCUGUAGAAGCUCGGCCACCCUCGAUAGAAGGAGUUGUCGGGAUAGGAUACUCCGGCAUUGUUGAGGAGCUUCGUUCUCGAGGAGGCGUACGGUUUUCCGAUCCAGUCAUCCCGGAUUUUUAUUAGAGAAGGACUCUAAGCCUUUAUAUAUUAGAUCUAUCAAUUUACAAUCAGAAUUAAACGCACGAUAAAGCUA